rnacentral:lncRNA from 1 species
CUAUAUAGAAAUGGAUGGAGAUGUAUAUGCGUGUGGAUGUGUGCAGAUAUUGAGUGAAUUGAUGGAAAAGGAGUGGAAUUGGCAGUGCUUUGUUCCAAGAAAAACACAUCUAGAAAGGGUGAAUUGAGGCCAUUAUUAUAUAUUUUGUACUCCCGUCAUUUCCAUUGGAAUGGUAACCCUUUUCGACCGCACCCAUCAUGUCAUCCUCAGGUUACAGCCAACGGAUCAGCAGGCUUCACUAUGACAAGCCUUUGGCUAUAUCUAUGUAACUACAGAAUUGGAUUCAGACACGUGAGAAAAAGGGGCUUGGAACGUGUUCCGAAUCCACUAUUCUUUUUACCAAUGACAGCCUAGCAAAGAACAAACGGUAUGAGUUCUCAUGAUUCUGUCCCUUGCUCGGUUCAUUUGCCGAGGGGAGACGAGGGGUUCUCACCCAGAAAAAUAAUCAGUCGAGCUUCCCUACUGGACAACCAGAUUGGGCUAUUAUGGGCUCAGCUCCGGCAGAUAGGCUGCUUGAUGUAGUAACUAUUGUGUGUUGGUAAAUACGAAUGCUGCUUCAGAUUGUUUACUUUGAACCGCGGUGAGAGCGAAAGAAACACGUUGUUGAAGAGUUUUCUGGGUGGUACGGUUAGGUAAACAAAGCUGGAACGAUAACAUAGGUAUAGCCGGCGUUUCCGAAUCGAUCCAUGGAUGAGAGAUAUCCAGUGGUCCAGGACACCUGUCAAUGAAACAUGUGAGAUGAACCGCUGAACCAGACAAUUAAACAAACAUUUAGCUCCGUUCAAUAGGUGACAGGUAAUACUACUCUACUAUAAAGUACAUAGUACGUUUUUUAAAGUCCAACAGUCAUCCCAAAGUUAUUAGCUUCGAUUCGUUCCCCCUGUCAUACACUCAAGAUUGAUUAGCGCACUAGUUGGCCUCAACCAAUCCACCCCGCGUUACAUGGUGGCUGCGCUACGAACGCCUCGGGGAGCAACCAAGGGUCGGGAUACUUGAGGAUGAUGGUUUGGUAGCGCCCUUUGUGGCUGGCGCCGUUUGUCAGCAUGAUAGUACGUACUACGGAGGAGUAGGAUUUCUGGAAUAGCUCUGUAUUGGGAAAGAUGAUGAUGCACCAAGACUACUAUGUAGUCUCGGCGCUGGACACUUUCGUAGGACAUCUAAAACAUCAAUUACAUACCUAUUGGCGGCUGUGUUUAUGAGCUGCGCAAGCUACAAGACAGAUGACGAAUCAUUCAUUACCUUAAUGGUUAGCUCGACAAAACAAAUGACAAGAACAUGGCUCUUCCGCACUAAUUAACGGGAAUCAUCCCAUCCAGAUUGAGGUCAAUUCGCAGAAAGAAUGCUAGCUGGAUGAUUGAGGGGCCUGGGUCUAGAUUGAUUCUUGCGCAACUCUGGCCGCUUACUUGCUCCUGAUUAUGGAGUAUGUUGCAAUGACAGACAUAUUUGCUGAUCCGGGCUGUUCGGACGCCUUGGCCAAACGAGUUUAUCUGUGUGAUCAAGUAUUCUCAGCGAAUUACUACUCAAUAAUGCGCUGUAAGUGCAUGCAGAUUGCAACGUGGCUUGUUCAAGCCUAAUUGCAUAGUUAUCCGAAUACUGGUAGCAAAUACCAAUCAUCAAAGCAACUUCCUGUAGUCAUACAGCGGGCGAUCUUCGGCAUAAGCGGCAGAGCCCUCACAAUGUUACCCUGCAAUGGCGGUAUAAUAUAGACAACAUAUUUAGUACGUACCUACAGAAAUUGUGAUGCUGAUCAGUAAUACUUAUAGAACAUCGGGGUGGGUGAAAAGGAUGGACGAAGUUGAGAUCAAAAAAGGUGCCGUGGAGGACGCUGAUUGGCUGAUACCUACCUCACGUGAUGAGAUUCGGGGUAACUCAAGUUUAGGCUAUUUAGGUCUACCGAAGGUCAUCAUCUUUCAAGAGUCAAAAUACUUGGGGUCCCAAGUUAUUUAGUUUUACUUCAGUUGAACUAACCGCGGCGUACUGUCCUCAGGUUCACUAGACUGUGAUAAUGAAGAAGGGUCUUCGGCCUUCACUAUAAAGUAGAACGAAAAUUACUGCAAAUAAGUUGUCAAGACUUCUCGAUAUUAACAGAGUAGAAAGCAUUCGUUUCCGGAGAGAAAACUCUGUCUUAGCAUAUCUAGCUCAACCCCUUGGCUUUGCGCCAGCUGUCCAGAAAUCCAUCCGAUCAAGCGCUGCAAGUUAGCAGUCAACAACCUUGGAACUCAACAAAUACUCAUUCACCUUGUACAAAAUGACCGCCGAUCAGCUCUACUCAUAUAUCUACCUGCCUAUCUUGGACCAAAGUCACUCAGACGUGCUUGCUAGCAGGCCCUUGGCAUUGCACGAUGCUACCUCUAAUGUACCCAGGCAGACGCC